rnacentral:rRNA from 1 species
CCUACGGGCGGCAGCAGUGGGGAAUAUUGGGCAAUGGGCGCAAGCCUGACCCAGCAACGCCGCGUGAAGGAAGAAGGCUUUCGGGUUGUAAACUUCUUUUGACAGGGAAGAGUAGAAGACGGUACCUGUCGAAUAAGCCACGGCUAACUACGUGCCAGCAGCCGCGGUAAUACGUAGGUGGCAAGCGUUGUCCGGAUUUACUGGGUGUAAAGGGCGUGUAGCCGGGUUGACAAGUCAGAUGUGAAAUCCUGCGGCUUAACCGCAGAACUGCAGUUGAAACUGUUGAUCUUGAGUACUGGAGAGGAAGGCGGAAUGCGUGGGGUAGCGGUGAAAUGCGGAGAUAUUGGGGGGAACACCGGUGGCGAAGGCGGUCUGCUGGA